GGCUAACUCCGUGCCAGCAGCCGCGGUAAUACGGAGGAUCCAAGCGUUAUCCGGAAUCAUUGGGUUUAAAGGGUCCGCAGGCGGUUUUUUAAGUCAGAGGUGAAAUCCURCAGCUCAACUGUAGAACUGCCUUUGAUACUGGAARACUUGAGUUAUUGUGAAGUGGUUAGAAUGUGUGGUGUAGCGGUGAAAUGCAUAGAUAUYACACAGAAUACCGAUUGCGAAGGCAGAUCACUAACAAUGUACUGACGCUCAUGGACGAAAGCGUGGGGAGCGAACAGGAUUAGAUACCCUGGUAGUCCACGCCGUAAACGAUGGAUACUAGCUGUUCG
rnacentral:rRNA from 1 species